CAGGGGCGUGCGCCCGCUGGGUCAGCGCCCUCCUUCCUGCCGGGGAAGGGAAGUGCGUCGGUAGGGGAGGGCUCACCUCUCCAGGUUGAAACGAUGGCGGUCAGAACCGCCUGAGCUAAAUGCAAGAUGGUAUGGCAUCCAGACUCUGCUCAUAAGUAUCUGCAGUGAUCCAUACCUUGAUUGUACAUCUACUCUGCAUCCUGAGGACCUGAACAUGCUAACUGGUGGCUGCAGAUUUGUCUUCUAAGGAGCAAGUGUGGUCUGUGGACAGGCAGCUUCAGCCUCACCUGGGAUUUUGUUUGCACUAGAAAGUGCCAAGCCCUACCCUAGACCUAUUAAAGCAGAACUGGCGUUUAACAAGACACCCCAGGGUCUGGCCCCUGACUGCAGACUUCUAAUGGAAAGGAAAAGAGACUCUAACACAAUCUGCUAAUUAACCCACAGGUUGGAUUGAGAAGGAAAAAAAUCCACCUGAAUUCUUAAGAUAAAAUGUAUCAUUUAAAUAAUUAUUCUGGGUCUCUGCUUCUCCUGUUUGACAAGACAGCCGCAUCUUCUUGAGCAGUGCCAGCUGUGUCCCUGAGACAACAUGGUGAAGGUGAAGGCCAGAAAAAACAGAUUUGGCCAUAUUGGGGGCCUGGUCACCAGGGAUGCCAACUCUGGCAAAGUGGAUAUUGUCACUAUCAAUGACCUCAACUACAUGGUCUCCAUGUUCCAGUAUGAUUCCGCUCAUGGCAAGUUCCACGGCACCAUCAAGGCUGAGAACGGGAAGCCUGCCAUCAAUGACAAUCCCAUCACCAUCUCGCAGGAGUGAGAUCCCACCCAAAUCAAGUGGGGUCAUGCCAGCACUGAUUAUAUUGUGGCGGCCACCAGCAUCUUUGCCAGCAUGGAGAAGGCUGGGGAUCACCUAGAUGGGGGAGCCAAAAGGGUCAUCAUCACUGCCCCCUCUGCUGAUGGCCCCAUGUGUGUGAUGAGUGAAAGCUAUGAGAAGUACUGCCUGCAGUAAGAGCUUGCUACUAUUAAUAUCAUCAUUUUAGUAAUCAUACUCUGAAUCUUGGCAAAAAAGAAAAGACGGUUCUGAAAAUCAAGUCUGUCUGUUUCUGCCAGAAUACUCAUGAGACAGUUUGUUCCUAAAGCAGCAAUUAGGAGUAAAGAACCAGAACAGUGUGAUCAUCCAAAAAGUCAGCUUCUGGCUUAGCUCCAUCAGGAUCCCAAUUCUCUACGGAGUCGAGAAUUAUGAAAACUAAAGCUAUUUACAGCUUUUAACAAUUGAGUAAAGUAUACUGUUACCAGAAUUGGGAGCAUAUUUGUUUCUCUCUACCUGGUUUCUCCAGAAUUUGGAAACUAUUUAGUCACUGAAAACUAAGCUGUGUUUUCUUAAAACCCUGCAAACUGAAGCCAGACAACUUGAACUUCAGAAGAAAAUAACAGCAACCUAUUUACGUACAUAAGCCACUUUCAUACCUGCCUACUAAUGUAUGGACUUCAGAGUAAUGUGGCUUAUAUCGAUUUUUCUAGGAUUGUUCUUUUGUUUGUUGUUGUUUUUUCUCCCUUCCUCCCUGCUAUUUUCUCUUCACAGAAUGUGAGACUUCACAACCUACUAAAAAUGAGCUUUUGGGACUUACCCAUCUAGGAAUAAACCAUCAUAGCUAUGAGAAAUCAGAUGAAGCCUGAGACCAGAGACUCAUUUUUUUGCAAAAUGCUUUCUCCGACAGAUUUUACAAAAGAAAAGUGGUGGGGGGCAGGCACAGUG
rnacentral:lncRNA from 1 species